AUAGAAUGUUUGAUGGUGCUUCCAGAGGUUGAUCGACCUUGCUGCCCUGGCCAUUCACAACUCGGAGUUGGUUGAGACAGCCCUGCCCCAGGCUGUGUGUUCAGUAUUACAGAGCAAAGAUACCUGUGACUGCUGUAGAGGGGCGCUUUUUGGCCCUGGUCUGAGGAUAAUUCGACCAGUCACUAACAUAUUUGGAGUGAAGAACUUGCCUUUUUUGUUUCGAUCGUGUUCUACAUUGUGUCUGUAUGUGUUCAGGCACAGCACAGACACACUAGCCCAGAUGCUGUAUGGUGGUGAUGCCAUUAAGGGCCUGUGAACAUGCCACCACCACACACACCAGACAUAUACACUGCUUGGCCUUCGCAUGUAGGGAUUAUAUGGCAAAUGCAUGUCAGAUAUGACAACAGUAAUCAUGCAGAAAAGAUCAACUGUGUCAGGAGAUCUUUGUGAAGGUAAAAUGAAAAUCUUGGCAGUAUCUAAGUCUAUGUUAGAUUGAACAUGAUACUUUCAGAAAAAAAAAAUUAGCUUUUGAUGAAUGUGACAUAUUAUACUUGUCAGAAGUGUUUGAAGUCAAAAUGAGGAUGUUUGACACUUGAAGAUUGUUUAUAAAAUAAUGCUUGUUAA